rnacentral:rRNA from 1 species
CUUAUGAUGGCGACCGGCGCACGGGUGCGUAACGCGUAUGCAACCUACCUUUUACAGGGGCAUAACACUGAGAAAUUGGUACUAAUUCCCCAUAAUAUCUGAGACGGCAUCGUUUUGGGUUGAAAACUCCGGUGGUAAAAGAUGGGCAUGCGUUGUAUUAGCUAGUUGGUGAGGUAACGGCUCACCAAGGCGGCGAUACAUAGGGGGACUGAGAGGUUAACCCCCCACAUUGGUACUGAGACACGGACCAAACUCCUACGGAAGGCAGCAG